ensembl:lncRNA
CCCUAGUGAAAAUGACUCAGCAAACAAGAGCAGUUUUCAGUCAAAUUCCAUUGCUCUCCAAACUGCCCAAAAGCCUUAGAUGGUGACCUAACUCCCAGGAAAUGUGCUGCCUAUCUACUUCACUUCAACUACCAUGCUUGCAACUGUCUUGCUGUGUUCUCUGAAUGAAGCCUGCCUGCCAUGUGACCGUGGCUAAAGCAACCACCUCAGAGAAUGAACUGAAAGGCAACAAGACUGGGGACACCAGGCCAUCAACACUGUCUCAGAACAAAGGACAAGGAUCUGCCAGUGUGCUUCCUGCAUCCAGUCUGGAUCAGAUGCCUGUACUUAGCAGCCAUGGAUGUCACCAUGCUGAGUCAUACUGCAGCCAGGCGGAAAUGAAAAUUUUUCAGUCGUAAUUCUGGCUUUUUUUUUUUUUUUUUUUUUUUUUUUUUUUAGAAUUGUUUCCAGUAUGGACUUUGUCUGAACUUCUAUUUUAAUGCUUAUCUUGAUCACUGGUUUGUGUUUCUUUUUUUGUGGAUUUGUUGUGUGGUACCUCUUUAAAACUGUCCCCUCGGGUGAAUGCCUUGCUCAAUCUUCUCAGACCCCAGCAGGAGUGAAAUGCUGAAUGUAAAACUGAAGGGAAUGGCCACCACAGGUGACAAUGCCCAAAUCCCCAGAGGCUGAGACUGUGUAAGCUCCUGUGACAAAAUAACAUUUGCAGCUGGGACUAAGGGAACUCAAGAUAAGAAACUGCCUUGGGUUACCCAGGUGGCCUUCUCUAACUGCAAGGGAGGCAGGGGAGGACAGGUGUUAACAGUAGCAGGGGACAGAGAGUGGAGACUCACUCCUGUUAACAGUGAAGAUAGGGAGCAGACAACAGAACAGAGGACUGAUGAAGGUGAUUAAACAGAGAUUCCCAAGUCUCCGAGUCUCCUGCUAAUGCUGGGCUUUUUCCCCCAGAGAGGCCAGUCUGGAGCGCUGACCUUUGAACUGUGAAGCAAUAAACCUAUGGGUUUUUAAGUGUUUGUGGAGACCUUUUUGAAGCACAACAGAAAACUACUGUGUUGUAGGACUCUGCAGUGGGCAUCAUGGUGAUCCAAGGGUGGGGCAUCAAAGAGCUUGACAGGUGCCCAAGAGCUUGCUCUGUACUCAGUCUCCAGUGCUGAUACCUUCUUGUAGUUUUUAGCAUCAGGUUACAGAGUUUGCUAGGGAAAUGAUGAAUUCUCUGCCUGGUCUGUAAUUGCCAUCAGCGUCCAAGUGUCUUCUGUCAUUCCUGUGCCCUGCUUUCUACAGCCUUGCUAGUGUUCAGGGCCAAAACUCAGAGCCCCAAACUUAACUCCUUUCCAAAGAACAGUCAAGAGAUGCUAGAGCACCCUGCACUUGUUACUAGAAAAUGAUCAUUCCUCAGCACUCUUCACUGCAUUAAAAAGUGCUACUGAAGGGACCAGCUCCCUAUUUCGGCAGCCAUGACAGUAACACAUGCUUACCAUGACCUUGUC